rnacentral:lncRNA from 1 species
ACUAUUUCUCAAUUUAAAGAGAAAUUCAUUUUCAUAGAAAUCAAUAUAAUUUGAUUCUAUGAUCACUUUAGCAUAUAGGUCAUAAAACCUAUAAGCUUUACGGUCAAUUAUAUACUCAAUGAGUACACAUGCAUAGGCUCUACUAGUGAGUUUAACUCUCUUGGUUUCUGAAAUUUAAACAUAGACCAGAUAAACCCAAGUUCUAAAAUAAGACAAAUUAGAUUGUCUUUUCUUCAAAAUUUCAUAAAUAGAANNNNNNNNNNNNNNNNNNNGGGCACUCUACUUAGCACAAAACAAUCAAUUAAUAAAAUUUCUCACACUAAUAUAAUGAGAUGCAAUGCCGAAAUUAAGCAUGACUGUAACAACUGGCUCGGUAAAGGUUCUAUAAUUUUUUAUUUUAUUUUAUUUUUUUAAACUUUACCGUUCAUCUCAAAAGAGUAAGCAGUUGUUUCAUGAUAAUUUCAUACUCAUUGAAAAUGUGGGAAUCAUACUUUUGUGCCUCUAAAAUCAUUUGAUUUUCUCAUUGAAUUAUUUUUCAAUUUCAGUUCCAUAUAAUUGGAACAUGUCAAAAACAUCACUCACUUUUAUUUUUUCAUAAGAUGUAUGAAAAUAUAACUUGAACAGUCAUCAAUAAAAGUGAUGAUUUUUUCUGUUUCUAAUCAAAAUACCAUCUAUCUGAUUCUUGAAUAAUUUGCCGGUUGGCUUCAGACUUGUGAAUUUCUUUCUAGUGUUGUUGUUCAAGACAACAAGCACUUCAUUUUUCUGAUUUUGCUUUCUAGCUUCUUCUUCAAAACGAAGAUAUCUUAUCAGAAAUUCGAGGGAAUAUAGUUUAGCCAUUUUAUCCUUAUAGCUUGUUCAAUUUUUUUUUUAAAGUAAAAUUGGAAUAUCUUUCUUCAAAACAAUAGCAACUCUGUUGUUAUUAUAAAAGCA